rnacentral:snoRNA from 1 species
GUACCUUUUUAAAGUUGAUUCAGUACUUUAUUAGGAUAAAAGACAAUGGUGAAGUAAAUCUCCAUAAAACCCAGAAAGAAAUUAUAAAACUCUUUGGAUCCUGUCUACAGUCACAGCU